GGCUGGAGCCUGUGAGUUUAUCCAAGAUUUUAUUUCUGGCGAGUGCUGCCUGCUCGUGACAUCAGCUCUGGUAUUUCCAAUCCCUGAGGGGAGAAAGGGGGGAAGGGGAGAGGGGGGAAGAGAGAGGAGGAGGAGAGGAAGAGAGAGGGGGAGAGAAUAAACAGGAAAAUAGCACACAAGGGCACCAAGUUCUCUGGGGUCCUGAACGCUGAGCUGUUGUUUGGCCGAAGGAUCUCAUUGCCAGCAACCCACUCCAGGGUGUUAGGAAACCGGUGGCCUGACAAGGCCUUCCCAAAUGCGCUCCGUUUGGCCUCCAAACAUCUCCCUCUUCCCUUUGCUUGAGCUGGCCCCAUUCCCCAGCGCUCAAGCUGAGAAUUGGAAGCAGCAGGGGGAAAAUAAAUUAAAACACGGUCAGAGUUUAAAGAUACAAAAUCCUCUUGUAACGUUUUCUUUCAACAGCCGGGCUCCCCAUGUAGUUACACAGGACACAAGGCUCAGUUGACUGCAAGUGAGCCUGAAGUUUGGGGACGGCAGGCAGGCAGGCAGGCAGAACUCCUGCCUCUGAGGCACCCCCCCCAGCUGAUGGAAAGAAGGGCAUGCUUAUAAUGCCCCUUAGUCCCGUACUGCAGAUCAUUUUGUGAGCCAGAUCUCCCAUUUAGGCAUGUAGAACCUUCUUCGGUCCAAGGUCCUCUUUCCCUUCAGGGUAAGUUUUCAGGGGCCACAUGCAGGGGUCAGCAAACUUUUUCAGCAGGGGGCCAGUUCACUGUCCCUCAGACCUUGUGGAGGACAGGACUAUAUUUUGAAAGAAAAAAAAAUGAACAAAUUCCUAUGCCCCAUAGAGAUGCAUUUUAAAUAAAACCACACAUUCUACUCAUGUAAAAACACCAGGCAGGCCCCACAAAUAACCCAGAGAUGCAUUUUAAAUAAAAGGACACAUUCUACUCAUGUAAAAACACGCUGAUUGCCGGACCGUCCACGGGCUGGAUUUAGAAGGUGAUUGGGCCGGAUCCAGCCCCUGGCCCUUAGUUUGCCUACCCAUAUGCUAGUGGCAGUAGGAAGGAUCUAAUACGGUGGUACCUCGGGUUACAGAUGCUUCAGGUUACAUAUGCUUCAGCUUACAGACUCUGCUAACCCAGAAAUAGUACCUCGGGUUAAGAACUUUGCUUCAGGAUGGGAAUAGAAAUUGUGCUUUGGUGGCAUGGUGGCAGCGGGAGACCCCAUUAGCUAAAGUGGUGCUUCAGGUUAAGAACAGUUUCAGGUUAAGAACGGACCUCCGGAACGAAUUAAGUACUUAACCCGAGGUGCCACUGUAUAGGUCUCUUAAGAUCCAAAACAGUUACUAUAGAUAUGGUCAUUCCUUUAGAUCACAGAUGGGCACAUUUUUCAGGGCCGCAUUUGCAUCUUACAUUUAAAGCCCUUUAAAGACCGAUGGCUUCCUCCAAUGCAGUUUAUUAAGGGUGCUGAGAAUUUCCAGGAGAGCCAUAUUCCCCUGUUCCCUGGGAAGGGGGAUUGUACGUUAAUCUGCUCUGGGAAUCAUAGUUCUGUGAAGCGUCGUCUGCCGAGCAAGAAGAACAUGGGGUGGCGGGUGGUGUCAUUCCCCAGGCGAAGUUCUGACUCAGAGUAAGGCAGCUUCUUAUGUUCCUAAGGAAUGCGGACAGCUUGCUGACCUAAUUUUGCUGACAGGAGAAACUCAGCCAAGAGAGUGAGCAAGGAGGUUCUUAGAAAUGGGAGAUUUGCCUCUGGGGAGCUGAAUCUUUCAGACUGUGAUGUGUGGAGUCCAGAGCACUGGAGGAAGGACUCCAAGGCACUGUGAAGUAAGUUAUCAGGGGGAAAGGUGGAGUAUAUAUAUAUAACAACAAUGACAACAAUAGGAACAACAACAACAACAACACAAGCCCUGCUGAAUCAGACCAAAGGUGGACUUGAAAUCUACAGCAUGUUAUUCUUUGAAGGAGAACUAUUUGAAAAUGAUUCAUAGGUGGUCUCUAACUCCGAGGCUUGGUAAGAUUUACAAGACUGAAUCAGAUAAGUGCUGGAAGUGCAAAGAGGUGGAGGGAACAUUCUUUCAUAUGUGGUGGACAUGUAAAAAGGUAAAAGAGUAUUGGGAAAUGAUUUAUAAUGAAUUGAAAAAAAUGUUUAAAAUUACUCCCCCCCCCCGAGUCCUUUCUGUUGGGGAUAACUCAGACUGAAAUCCCCAGGUGUCAGAAAACGUUAUUUAUGUAUGCAACAAUUGCAGCCCGUGUUUUAUUAGCCCCAAAAUGGAAAGUUAGCGAGGUCCCAACCAAAGAAGAACAACAGCUUAUGUUGACAAAAUAUGUGCAACUUGCAGAGUUAACAUGUGGAAUAAGAGAGCAAGAAGAACAUGCGUUUAAAGAAGAUUGGAAAACGUUUAUUGGUUAUACGGAAAAUAACUGUGUACAGCUGAAAAUGCUGGCAGCAUUAGGAUAAUUCAACAGUGCAAAUAAUCUUUGAUGGAUGUAAUAAUGGAAAAGCGAUUGGUGUAUAUAUGGCCUGGGGUGGAGAAACUUUUUGAACCCGGAGGCCAAUUUCCCUUCUGGGCAACUUUCUGGAGGUCAUAGGCCAGUGGUGGGUAGGGCAGGAGGCAAGACUCAGUAGAGGCCUCAAUGUGAUUUGUAGCUUUCUACAGCAGGGACGCGGGUGGCGUUGUGGGUUAAAUCACAGAGCCUAGGACUUGCUGAUCAGAAGGUCGGCAGUUCGAAUCCCUGCGACACGGUGAGCUCCCGUUGCUUCGUCCCCGCUCCUGCCAACCUAGCAGUUCGAAAGCACGUCUAAGUGCAAGUAGAUAAAUAGGUACCGCUACGGCAGGAAGGUAAACAGCAUUUCCGUGUGCUGCUCUGGUUCACCAGAAGCGGCUUAGUCAUGCUGGCCACAUGACCUGGAAGCUGUAAGCCGGCUCCCUUGGCCAAUAAAGCGAGAUGAGCACCGCAACCCAGAGUCGGUCAUGACUAGACCUAAUGGUCAGGGGUCCCUUUACCUUACAGCAGGCUGGUUUCUACGCAUAUGCAUUCACACCUCUAUCCUCCUUCCACGCAAGCAGGAGGCAUCAUCAGAGUUCAAGGAUGCGUUUCACCCAGAGAAAACCCCUUCCCAAUUUUUUUUUGGGGGGGGAAGUGGGUAUGAAGCAAGACCUGGGGAGGGUCCCAAGAGCCAGAUAGAGAGGCUUGCAAGUCCCCAUCUGCUCCCGGGACCUGGGAUUCUCCCUCGUUCCCCUGCCUGUGCUAAAACAUCCUUGGUUCCGAAGACGGACACUUGACCAUGUUGGAAAGGAUGGUGCACUAGGUGGUGCCGUAAUCCAACGGUUUAGUCCAGCCGGUUGAAAGAUCCAUUGAUGAAAAAUCAAUGGCUGCCUUUGACAGGGUGGGACUUCCUGGGCCUGCCCCGGUAACAUAUCAAGCAAGCAGGAGGGGAAUUUGAACAGGGAAUCUGUGCAAGAGAGUGUCCUGUUGGAUGAGUGCCCUUUGUGGGAAGGUCUGCUGCAUGCAUACUAGUUUGAAGUGCCCUGAGUGUGCCACCCUCCUUCUCCUAAUAGCUGGCUUCCACACACAGAGAGGAAACGAUGAGUUGCCUAACUUGGUUAAGAAGAAAUAGAUUAAUUAUAUCUCCCUUUCCUUUUGUGAAAGGGUAUGGAAGCUAGCAAUCUGCCUGCCAGUCAAAGGAUGCGGAAAUGAUUACCUUUCAGCUGACUUUGGGCAAGGUAUCCAUUAUCCGUUGUUUACUUCUCAGAGAAACAAUGGCCUCCCUGCCAUGGAUGCCUACUUGAACUCUGCAGGAGCUGCCGUCAACACUUUGCCAAGGUAUAUGGCUCAGCAUAAUGAUACCUUUGGCUCAGCUUUCUGUCACUUUGGAAAUGAGUCCCGAUGUUGCAACAGACUAAAAGUUAUCUCCUUUUUGUUUGUUUGCGGGUGAGCCUAUUUUCAAACAGAGGAGGUGGGGAGAGGGAGGAAAAGGCUGGGGUGCCAUUGCUAAAUGAGGAAUUCUCUUUCUAGCUCAUGUUGUAGUUUAUCGCUGGGGUCUUGGCUAUGUUGGCUAACAAUCUGACACACACACACACACACACAGGGUUUGAUCCAAAUGAGAAGAUUGAACUUGCACCCCAAAACCUGUCAAUAGGUCUAAGCUGCAGUUGUUGUUGUUUAGUCGUUUAGUCAUGUUUGACCCUUCGUGACCCCAUGGACCAGAGCACUCCAGGCACUCCUGUCUUCCACUGCCUCCUGCAGUUUUGUCAAACUCAUGCUGGUAGCUUUGAGAACACUGUCCAACUAUCUCGUCCUUUGUCAUUCCCUUCUCCUUGUGCCCUCAAUCUUUCCCAACAUUAGGGUCUUCUCUUCUUAUGAGGUGGCCAAAGUAUUGGAGCCUCAGCUUCCAGUGAGCACUCAGGGCUGAUUUUCUUAAGAAUGGAUAGGUUUGAUCUUCUUGCAGUCCAUGGGACUCUCAAGAGUCUCCUCCAGCACCAUAAUCCAAAAGCAUCAAUUAUUCGGCGAUCAGCCUUCUUUAUGGUCCAGCUCUCAAUAAUAGGCAAAUCAGUCUAUUUUGGUUUUUCUCUGUUGCUCAUUUGUUCCAAUCUUAAGUUCAGUUCCACAUCUGAUUUUGAAUUUAGUGUGACUUGCAUCCAAUAUACACCUUUUUAAAUGCAACUUUGCCUAAAAUACAUGUUUUGCAAGUGAAUAUAAUAUAAUGCAUUUAUUGUAUAUUAUCUUCACUAAUAUAUGCAUUUUUGGUAAAUAACAUUUUAUUGUAUUUUCAGCAGGGACAGCAUACCAAAAAAGAAAGAAAGAAAGAAAGAAAGAAAGAAAGAAAGAAAGAAAGAAAGAAAGAAAGAAAGAAGACAGUGAGAAGAUAGCAGAGGAGAAGAGCAAAAUGGAAAAGGGAGAAAGAAGGAAUGGAGAAAGGGAGAAAACCAUAUAAAACUAGAUUAAGCGACUUCCCCUAUUCCUGGCAUGCACAUUAUAAAACUCAAAGUAAAGCAGUAAACAUCUGGAUCACCACAAUUUCAGUAAACACAGAAGAAAGGAAGCAUGUAGACCGCAUAUGACAUUCAGUGGGUGAUUCCAAAUAUCCCAAGCCUGAGCAGAUGGUUGUUGAAAGUUUCACUUUAUACACACUUGACCCUAGUUAUGCCUUUUUCUACACAUUACUUGGCUGGGGAACAGCACAGCGAAGUUCAGAGAAGUGUGAACCCAGACAGCUCCCCAUUUAUACAGGGGUCACAUUCCAAGGCCCUGAACGUUUAGGUGACAUUGCGUAUAUUUGAGACACCAUUGGAAAAGCCUGCAGGCGCCCUCUAAUCCUCUGUUUCGCAUCCUUUGUUUAAUUUCUUGUCUUUUGUUCCAUGCUGUUCUUUGUAAACUGCUAUGUGACUUUUUCUGAUGAAAAGUAGUAUGCAAGUCCUUUAAAUAAUAAUAAAGUGGGGAAGACACA